rnacentral:rRNA from 1 species
UACACGGGUGCAGAGUGUUUCGGAGUAAUAGCAUAACCCAGCCUACAGCUUUCAGUACGCGUAGAUUCGAUCUGCUCCGCUGAACGCUGCGCAGCUAGCACAUGCAGUCGAGCGAUGACGGCAGCUUGCUCUUGAUCAGCCGACGACUGGUGAGUAAUGCUACGAAUCUGCUGGUAGUGGGGGCACACGUUUGGAAAGCAACGCUAAUACCGCAUACGUCUACGGGACGAAAGCAGGGGACCCUCGGGCCUUGCGCUAUCAGAUGAGCUAGGUCGGAUUAGCUAGUUGGUGAUGUAAUGGCUCACCCAAGGCGACGAUCCGUAACUGGUCUGAGAGGAUGAUCAGUCACACUGGAACUGAGACACGGUCCAGACUCCUACGGGAGGCAGCAGUGGGGAAUAUUGGACAAUGGGCGAAAGCCUGAUCCAGCCAUGCCGCGUGUGUGAAGAAGGUCUUCGGAUUGUAAAGCACUUUAAGUUGGGAGGAAGGGCAGUAAGUUAAUACCUUGCUGUUUUGACGUUACCGACAGAAUAAGCACCGGCUAACUCUGUGCCAGCAGCCGCGGUAAUACAGAGGGUGCAAGCGUUAAUCGGAAUUACUGGGCGUAAAGCGCGCGUAGGUGGUUCGUUAAGUUGGAUGUGAAAGCCCCGGGCUCAACCUGGGAACUGCAUCCAAAACUGGCGAGCUAGAGUACGGUAGAGGGUGGUGGAAUUUCCUGUGUAGCGGUGAAAUGCGUAGAUAUAGGAAGGAACACCAGUGGCGAAGGCGACCACCUGGACUGAUACUGACACUGAGGUGCGAAAGCGUGGGGAGCAAACAGGAUUAGAUACCCUGGUAGUCCACGCCGUAAACGAUGUCAACUAGCCGUUGGAAUCCUUGAGAUUUUAGUGGCGCAGCUAACGCAUUAAGUGACCGCCUGGAUAUCCCCUC